UACGUAGGGUGCGAGCGUUAAUCGGAAUUACUGGGCGUAAAGCGUGCGCAGGCGGUUUUGUAAGCCAGAUGUGAAAUCCCCGGGCUUAACCUGGGAAUGGCAUUUGGGACUGCAAGGCUCGAGUGCGGCAGAGGAGACUGGAAUUCCUGGUGUAGCAGUGAAAUGCGUAGAUAUCAGGAGGAACACCUGUGGCGAAAGCGGCUCACUGGACCAUAACUGACGCUGAUGCACGAAAGCUAGGGGAGCAAACAGG
rnacentral:rRNA from 1 species